GACGAACGCUGGCGGCGUGCCUAAUACAUGCAAGUAGGACGCAGUUGCGAACGGGUGAGUAACGCGUAGGUAACUGCCUAUUAGAGGGGGAUAACUAUUGGAAACGAUAGCUAAUACCGCAUACUAGUAGAUGGACCUGCGUUGUAUUAGCUAGUAGGUAGGGUAAUGGCCUACCUAGGCAACGAUACAUAGCCGACCUGAUAGGGUGAGCUGCCAAAAUGGGACUGGGAAACGGGCCAGACUCCUACGGUAGGGAGCAAGAGGGAAUCUUCGGCAAUGGGGGGAACCCUGACCAAGCAAAGCCGCGUGAGUGAAGAAAGGUUUCGGAUCGUAAAGCUCUGUUGUUAAGGAAGCGGUACUUAAACAGAAAGGGACGGCUAACUACGUGCCAGCAGCCGCGGUAAUAC
rnacentral:rRNA from 1 species